rnacentral:siRNA from 1 species
UGGAGGAGAGUCUGCUUUCCA